rnacentral:rRNA from 1 species
UGUGACAUACCACUUGUUGCCUCGGCGGAUCAGCCCGCUCCCGGUAAAACGGGACGGCCCGCCAGAGGACCCCUAAACUCUGUUUCUAUAUGUAACUUCUGAGUAAAACUAUAAAUAAAUCAAAACUUUCAACAACGGAUCUCUUGGUUCUGGCAUCGAUGAAGAACGCAGCAAAAUGCGAUAAGUAAUGUGAAUUGCAGAAUUCAGUGAAUCAUCGAAUCUUUGAACGCACAUUGCGCCCGCCAGUAUUCUGGCGGGCAUGCCUGUUCGAGCGUCAUUUCAACCCUCAAGCACAGCUUGGUGUUGGGACUCGCGUUAAUUCGCGUUCCCCAAAUUGAUUGGCGGUCACGUCGAGCUUCCAUAGCGUAGUAGUAAAACCCUCGUUACUGGUAAUCGUCGCGGCCACGCCGUUAAACCCCAACUUCUGAAUGUUGACCUCGGAUCAGGUAGGAAUACCCGCUGAACUUAAGCAUAUCAAUA